ACUCGACCGCCAAAGCUGAAGACUGAGGACCCCAACAAAUCAUACGUUCAGCGGCCAGUAAAGCGAGGUUAAUUGGAUCUAUUUCAUUUAAAAUUUGCUCUGCAGCCAAGCUCCGGCGAAGUCUAGGGAGACUAUGGAUGUAGGCUGACACUAAUAUCGAAUCUUAUGACUCGCCUGUAAACUACAUAGUUAGAAUGCAAAUCUUAUUUACACAAUAUCAA
rnacentral:misc_RNA from 1 species